rnacentral:rRNA from 1 species
GCCCUUAGAGUUUGAUCCUGGCUCAGGACGAACGCUGGCGGCGUGCCUAAUACAUGCAAGUCGAACGAAGCUUUCUUUCACCGAAUGCUUGCAUUCACCGAAAGAAGCUUAGUGGCGAACGGGUGAGUAACACGUAGGCAACCUGCCCAAAAGAGGGGGAUAACACUUGGAAACAGGUGCUAAUACCGCAUAACCAUGAACACCGCAUGAUGUUCAUGUAAAAGACGGCUUUUGCUGUCACUUUUGGAUGGGCCUGCGGCGUAUUAACUUGUUGGUGGGGUAACGGCCUACCAAGGUGAUGAUACGUAGCCGAACUGAGAGGUUGAUCGGCCACAUUGGGACUGAGACACGGCCCAAACUCCUACGGGAGGCAGCAGUAGGGAAUCUUCCACAAUGGACGAAAGUCUGAUGGAGCAACGCCGCGUGAAUGAAGAAGGCCUUCGGGUCGUAAAAUUCUGUUGUCAGAGAAGAACGUGCGUGAGAGUAACUGUUCACGUAUUGACGGUAUCUGACCAGAAAGCCACGGCUAACUACGUGCCAGCAGCCGCGGUAAUACGUAGGUGGCGAGCGUUGUCCGGAUUUAUUGGGUGUAAAGGGAACGCAGGCGGUCUUUUAAGUCUGAUGUGAAAGCCUUCGGCUUAACCGAAGUAGUGCAUUGGAAACUGGAAGACUUGAGUGCAGAAGAGGAGAGUGGAACUCCAUGUGUAGCGGUGAAAUGCGUAGAUAUAUGGAAGAACACCAGUGGCGAAAGCGGCUCUCUGGUCUGUAACUGACGCUGAGGUUCGAAAGCGUGGGUAGCAAACAGGAUUAGAUACCCUGGUAGUCCACGCCGUAAACGAUGAGUGCUAAGUGUUGGAGGGUUUCCGCCCUUCAGUGCUGCAGCUAACGCAUUAAGCACUCCGCCUGGGGAGUACGGUCGCAAGACUG